CCCUUAGAUGUUCUGGGCCGCACGCGCGCUACACUGAUGCAUUCAACGAGUCUAAAACCUGCUCUGAUAGGGGUGGGUAAUCUUUUGAAUGUGCAUCGUGAUUGGGAUAGAUGAUUGCAAUUUUUCAUCUUCAACGAGGAAUGCCUAGUAAACGCAAGUCAUCAGCUUGCAUUGAUUACGUCCCUGCCCUUUGUACACACCGCCCGUCGCUCCUACCGAUUGAAGUUUUCGGUGAGCUGGCAGGAGGAAUUUUUUGAAACUGGUUCGCUAGUGGAUUUUAGUUCCAAAUGCCAACGAAUCGAUGGCUUUAGAGGAAGGAGAAGUCGUAACA
rnacentral:rRNA from 1 species